rnacentral:tRNA from 3 species
GCCAGGGUAGCUCAGUUGGUUAGAGCACAGGACUCAUAAGCCUGGGGUCGUGAGUUCAAAUCUCACCCCUGGUACAA